ACGAAGGGGGCUAGCGUUGUUCGGAAUUACUGGGCGUAAAGCGCACGUAGGCGGAUUGAUCAGUUAGAGGUGAAAUCCCGGGGCUCAACCCCGGAACUGCCUUUAAUACUGUCAGUCUAGAGAUCGAGAGAGGUGAGUGGAAUUCCGAGUGUAGAGGUGAAAUUCGUAGAUAUUCGGAGGAACACCAGUGGCGAAGGCGGCUCACUGGCUCGAUACUGACGCUGAGGUGCGAAAGCGUGGGGAGCAAACAGG
rnacentral:rRNA from 1 species